UCUACCAAAGGAUAAUAGUAUUCCACUGG
rnacentral:tRNA from 1 species